rnacentral:rRNA from 1 species
UACGUAGGGGGCGAGCGUUGUCCGGAUUUAUUGGGCGUAAAGAGCGUGUAGGCGGCCAGGUAGGUCUGCUGUGAAAACUCGAGGCUCAACCUCGAGACGUCGGCGGAAACCAUCUGGCUAGAGUCCGGAAGAGGAGAGUGGAAUUCCUGGUGUAGCGGUGAAAUGCGCAGAUAUCAUGAAGAACACCCGUGGCGAAGGCGGCUCUCUGGGACGGUACUGACGCUGAGACGCGAAGGCGUGGGGAGCGAACAGG